rnacentral:rRNA from 1 species
UCAAGCUAAUAAGAGCACAGGGUGGAUGCCCAGGCACCAAACGCCGAUGAAAGACGUGGCAAGCUGCGAAAAGUCACGGGGAACCGCAAGCAGGUAUUGAUCCGUGAACGUCUGAAUGGGGAAACCCGGCGGGUUAACAGCCCGUCACUAUUAACUGAAUCAAUAGGUUAAUAGGGGGAACGCGGGGAACUGAAACAUCUCAGUACCCGUAGGAAGAGAAAAUAAAGAAUGAUUUCCUAAGUAGCGGCGAGCGAACGGGAAAGAGGCCAAACCGAAGGGCUUGCUCUUCGGGGUUGUGGAUCAGCAAUAAGGACGAGAGACCUUAGCAGAAGAGGAUUGGAAAGUCCCGCCAGAGAGGGUAAAAGCCCCUUACGCGAAAAGGUCAAACGACGAGCUGACACCAGAGUACCGCAGGACACGAGAAAUCCGGUGGGAAGCCGGGAGGACCACCUCCCAAGCCUAAAUACGAAUUGGUGACCGAUAGCGCAUAGUACCGUGAGGGAAAGGUGAAAAGAACCCCGGGAGGGGAGUGAAAAAGAACCUGAAACCCUGUGUUUACAAGCAGUGAAAGUGCGAGCAAGGCACGAUCACGUACUUUUUGUAGAACGGACCGGCGAGUUACGUUAUGCAGCAAGGUUAAGAACUGAAGGUUCGGAGCCGAAGCGAAAGCGAGUCUGAAUAGGGCGAUAGUUGCAUGACGUAGACCCGAAACCGGGUGACCUAUCCAUGAGCAGGUUGAAGUGGAGGUAAAGCUCCAUGGAGGACCGAACCAGACGUCUGUUGAAAAAGGCGGGGAUGACUUGUGGAUAGGGGAGAAAUUCCAAUCGAACCCGGAGAUAGCUGGUUCUCCUCGAAAUAGCUUUAGGGCUAGCCUCAUGGAUCAUUGGUGGGGGUAGAGCACUGAAUGUGCGCGGGGGCCACAAAGCCUACCAAACGCUAUCAAACUUCGAAUACCAUACAAUGCAGACCAUGGGAGUCAGUCCGCGAGAGAUAAGUUCCGCGGGCAAAAGGGGAACACCCCAGAUCAACCGCUAAGGUCCCCAAGUUCACGUUAAGUGGAGAAGGAUGUGGAAUUGCACAGACAACCAGGAUGUUGGCUCAGAAGCAGCCACACAUUUAAAGAGUGCGUAAUAGCUCACUGGUCGAGUGAUUGUGCGCCGAAGAUGUCCGGGGCUAAACGUGACACCGAAGCGAUGGGUGCGUCUGAAAGGAUGCGCGGUAGAGGAGCAAUGUGCAGAGGCAGAAGCCGUAUCGAGAGGCACGGUGGACACUGCACAAGAGAGAAUGCCGGUAUGAGUAGCGAGAGGCAUGCGAGAAACAUGCCCGUCGAAAGCCCAAGGUUUCCUGGGGAAGGUUCAUCCGCCCAGGGUAAGUCGGGGCCUAAGCCGAGGACGGAAGUCGUAGGCGAUGGACAGCAGGUGUAGAUUCCUGCACUACCGAUGGAAUGAAGCAGUGACACAGAAGGAUAACUCGAGCAGGGUGAUGGUCAACCCUGUGCAAGCAUCAAGGUUGGGUUGUAGUGAAGUACGCAAUCCUACAAGCUGAGGUGUGAUGCGGACCGAAAUUUCAGUAGGGAAGCGAGUGAGUUCACGCUGGCGAGAAAAGCUGCUAGUAUAUCCAAAGGUACCCGUACCGGAAACCGACGCAGGUGGGCGAGGAGAGAAUCCUGAGACGAACGGGAGAACCCUUGUUAAGGAACUCGGCAAAAUGACCCCGUAACUUCGGGAUAAGGGGUGCCUGCGAGAGCAGGCCGCAGAGAAUAGUCACAAGCGACUGUUUAGCAAAAACACAGGUAUCUGCGAAAGCGAGAGCUGACGUAUAGGUGCUGACACCUGCCCGGUGCUGGAAGGUUAAGGGAACAUGUUAGAGCAAUCGAAGCAUCGAACCGAAGCCCCAGUAAACGGCGGCCGUAACUAUAACGGUCCUAAGGUAGCGAAAUUCCUUGUCGGGUAAGUUCCGACCCGC